GACGAACGCUGGCGGCGUGCUUAACACAUGCAAGUCGAACGGAAAGGCCCUGCUUUUGUGGGGUGCUCGAGUGGCGAACGGGUGAGUAACACGUGAGUAACCUGCCCUUGACUUUGGGAUAACUUCAGGAAACUGGGGCUAAUACCGGAUAGGAGCUCCUGCUGCAUGGUGGGGGUUGGAAAGUGUCGGCGGUUGGGGAUGGACUCGCGGCUUAUCAGCUUGUUGGUGGGGUAGUGGCUUACCAAGGCUUUGACGGGUAGCCGGCCUGAGAGGGUGACCGGCCACAUUGGGACUGAGAUACGGCCCAGACUCCUACGGGAGGCAGCAGUGGGGAAUAUUGCACAAUGGGCUGAAGCCUGAUGCAGUAACGCCGCGUGCGGGAUGACGGCCUUCGGUUUGUAAACCGCUUUCGCCUGUGACGAAGCGUGAGUGACGGUAAUGGGUAAAGAAGCACCGGCUAACUACGUG
rnacentral:rRNA from 1 species